UGGCUUAGUGGCAGAGCACUUGCCUUGCAUGCAUGAGGCUCUGGGUUCGAUUCCUCAG
rnacentral:tRNA from 1 species